UACGGAGGAUGCAAGCGUUGUCCGGAAUUAUUGGGCGUAAAGAGCUCGUAGGCGGUUCGUCACGUCGGCUGUGAAAUCCCGAGGCUCAACCUCGGGUCUGCAGUCGAUACGGGCGGACUUGAGUACUGCAGGGGAGACUGGAAUUCCUGGUGUAGCGGUGAAAUGCGCAGAUAUCAGGAGGAACACCGGUGGCGAAGGCGGGUCUCUGGGCAGUAACUGACGCUGAGGCACGAAGGCCAGGGGAGCAAACGGG
rnacentral:rRNA from 1 species